UGUCCACUUUACUGGGACCGAAUCGUGACAAAAAAAAAUCCUCUUUAUCUCCUCAUCUUCCUCGACAGUUUAGAUUUAGGGUUUCUUCAUCAAACUAUUCACUUCACAACUACAAACGUAUCCUUUAUAUUUCCCAAAUUAAAUUCAUAAACUGUUCAUUUUUCUCUAUCUAUACAUCCUCCCGUCUUUACUCAGCCUAUCAAUAAUGGUUGGGUUUCGAAGUUCUCACCAAUAUAUAGUUCAUCACAGAAGGAGUCCUUCCUCUACCUGCUUCCGUUGCUCAAGCCGUCUGCGACUCAACUUUUGAGGCUCUUUGACUUGCCUGGAAUUCUCAAUUCAUUGUUGCUCGCCUCCUCAGCUUCUGGGAGCAUCAGACAGCCUGUCUCAGUUUCUGGGAGACGCCUAACGUCAAGAAAAAUGCAGUGUGGGUUUUGUCAAGCCAGAGCCAAAUCGGCAGACAUCUCCAUGCGCUGGACAACGACAUCAAACUUCAUGCUCUGCCGGAGAAACAUCACGUGACACAGCCAGAGAGUUGGAACCAUCACACGCUUUGGAGGAAGACGAUGGUAAUGGAGAGUCAAACGCAAACACUGGUGUGGUUUUGGUAUGGAGAGGUUCUCAGAUGUGUCUAAGGAAGAAAGAAGGAUCUCGAUUCCAUAUAGUAUAACAUCUAACUUUGAAAGAAUGGUCAGAAGCACUCAUUCACCGUGAAGCCUGAUUUUUCUGUUGGGAGUAAUCUGAAGCCUUCUGCUGCAAGAAAAGAACUCAGGAUUCAGCAGAGGCAGUUGCAACAGCUUAGAGCUUCUACAAUGGCUGAGAAAGUGGAAGAGUCUUUGUGCCUCGAGAUGAAACUCUGAGAAAUAGCAUGAUAAUCUCCUUUUCAACAACCAUCAUGAGUUCGGGAGUCCAUUAACACUUUACGUUUUUUCUUUUAUAUUUCUUAAAUUUGUGGAGACAGCCCUGAUGUCUUCUGAUUUGGUUUUGGUUUUGUAGGUUCAAAGCCUAGAAUUUAUCCAGCGUUCAAUAUCUAACAAGGAAGACAAUUAGAUUCUUUAAAAUUUUGAUUGGGUAAAUGGCUGUAGAGUGUACAAGUAAUGCCUACAUUAUUGAAUAUAUGUAACAGGUACUACUCAAUGUACAGACGUGUGGAGAAAUGUGAUUGAGUUUGGAUUUGAACUGGAGAUACAUUCAUCCAUCGUUAACAAGUGUGGUGGAGUGUAAAAGGUACUACUAAAUGUACAGACAUGUGGAGAAACUAGCACAAGAGAUUAGGAAAGGUGCUGCUUCUGUUGAUAUGGUGUCGUUGCCAAACUAUGGCAGAGAAACAAGAAGACACUCAUACUGAAGCAUCGAGCUAAGAGUUUGUUCUUGACAGGUACCAGGGACGCUCCAAGAAGAUCUGCUCUGUAAGAUGAGUGCACCACCAAACAGUGAUGCUCCUCUUAUCACCUCCAACGACCUUGCCGAGGCUGAUGCGUUUGUCUUUGGCUUCCCAACAAGGUUCAGUAUGAUGGCUGCUCAGUUCAAGGCAUUCUUAGGUGCAACUGGUGGUCUCUGAAGGACUCAACAACUUGCUGGUAAGCCAGCCAGAAUAUUCUAGAGCACCAGGGUCUCAAGGUGCUGGUCAAGAAACCACCGCGUAUGUUUCUUUUCCAAACCAACACCUCAUUAACUACACUUGCUUCGGUUCUUAUGUUUUGUAGUGUUUACUUGUGUUAUCAUUGAUUUCUAACACAAUUCGGUUUUGUAAUAUUUUUUAUCAGGAGUCAAAAACUAUAUCUUUAGAACUAACUCUAUUUUUAUAAAUCUUGAUCUUAUACCAGUUAUUUGUCUGGGCGUUGCUCAAAAAAAAAAAGAUAACUUAUUUGUCUAGGCAAGAUAAUAACGCUAUCAUACAAAUUCUACUAACCCCUUUUCUGAGGCCGACAAAACACCAAGAAAAUACGAAACCAAAUAUCGCCCAUAUAAGUGUGUAAAUACUUUUUCAAACUAUUGAAAAUAUAGCAACCUAAUCCAAAAUCAAAAUCGAAAAUUCCAUACACUGUUCAGAUUCACGCAUUCAAAUUGAACUCAAAAUUUUAUUAGGUUUCUCAUAAAAUUAUUUGAAUGGUUCCUAUAUUUUUGAACUGAAAUCAAAAACCAUAAUCGAACUAGAACCAAACCAAAACUUAAAAAACAUAAUUCCGCGCUUUUAAGCAUAUAGUUAAAAAGUUUUGAGCAUAUAAUAUUAUUUUUCAUAAGAGAAAAUAAAAAAAUACAUGAGAGACAAAUCCAUCUUUAUUAUGAAAUUACUCUAUUUUAGAAAAAAAAUAGAGGAUUACAUUAGAAAUGGUCUAAGGCAUGGCCGAGGUAAAUGAUCAACGUUGAGAUUUCAGCUUUCCUAAUUCUUACUAUUCUAAUGUUUUAAUAUAAUUUGAAUUCCCUUUGAUUUAUAAUAUAAUGGUUUAAAAGUAUUUUUUGUUUCACUAUAUAAAUUGUUUUUAUAUUUCAAUGUAACUUUAUAUUUAUUGGAUAUUGUCUUGCCAAUUAAAUUAUGUAAAUUACUGUGUAAUUGAUUAAAUUUAUAUAUUAAAUGACAGCUUUCUAAAGUAAUAACUUUUAAAUAUUACAGAUUUUAAUUAAAACUGAUUACAUUUUGAAACAAAUAGAGUAAUCUAUAAACUAACUUUAUAUAGAUAUGAGGACAAAAUUGUAAAGUGGUCUCACCUUAAAUUUUUCUCAUUCUGUGCAUUCCUAAUUGGAAGAAGAUAAUCAACAUCUAACAUUAUGUUACUCUCAGUAUAUUAGAAAUGGUCGAACCGUAAACCAAUUAAGGAUGAUGUAAUGAAGACAUAAAAUCGUAUUUCCAUUUAUCACAAAUAUAGAAUCAAUUGACAACAACUUAAUUAUGUCCAGCGUAGGAAACAGAGAAGAUUUUUCAUACCUUCUAAUAUUAUAAUAUCUCGCUAUAUUAGUGGCUAAAUCAGUUUUCUCUAGCACAAAUACUCACUCCAUUCUUAGAGUUUAACAUUUUCUAUCUGAUGAUAUUAGUAGUUUGAUCC